UUUUGGGUUAGGUGGGCUCUAAGCAAUGACCGGCGUCUUUAUUCAAAGAGGGCAGGAGGCGGGUGCGGUGGGAUGCACCUGCAGUCCCAGGUCCCCGGGAGGCUGAGCCAGGAGGAUCGCUUCAGCCCAGGAGCUGGAGCCCAGCCCGGGCCACACAGUGAGCCACUGUCUCUGAAUAAAAAGCUAGGAGGAGGCAGAGGAGACAGCUGAGCCAGUGGCUUCUCCAGAGCCGUGAGAGAAUUCGCCUCUGUCGUUUUAAGCCACCAAAUGUGUGCAGACAGCCCUGGGGGUUCAUCCAGUGCCUAAAAUUUCCCUUUGCUGGGUGCUUCCCGUCUUUACAAGGUGCCCCGUGUGAAGUGAACGCUGAUAGGAGGAUAAUACUAAGUUGAGAAAACAAAACGCUUCAGGACCUAAGUGUGCCGGAGAAAACACGGCCGGGAGAACAGGUUGGACUGGUUUUCUCAUGAAUCUCAAUGACUUUUAUCCUAACCAGGUUGAGUUUUUUUUCCCGGUACCGGGGAUAAACCCGGGGGUGCUCUGCCCCUGAGAUCCAUUCCCAACCCUUUUUUCAAAUUUUGAGACAGAGUCUUGCAAAUCUCUUAGACGGACCUCAAACCUGCAGCCCUCCUGCCUCAGGUGCUGGGAUUGCAGGCCUGCACCAGCACCCCGGGCUCUGGCCUGGGUGAAUUUUAAGGUUCACAGACACAGGGAGAACAUGGCAGGCGCACCGUGCGGCCUAUGAGGCCCUGCGCCAGGCCCACGGGAAAGCCGGUGAGUCAGCUGCCCUCUCUAAGAGCGUUCACCUCCGCCCGGGGUGUAAUGGGAGAAGCCAGUCGUUAGCCAAGGCGGAGGGGCCCUAAAAUGCCAUCCUCGGAAUGCUUUCAUCAGGUCCCAGUGGGUCCAUCGUCCGCCCACCUCAGGUCUAAGACGGCGGGUGUUGCUGAAGACUGAGGACCACAAGCACUCCAGGCUCCUGAAGAAAAGUGAAUCCCAGUCAGCAGAGUGGUGGUGAACUCGGGACGUACACUGCCUGAGCAACCAGCCGUGCCCGGCUCCCUCGCGCUGGCCAGUUCGGACCUGUUGAUCUUCUUCCUUGUGCAACUGUGCCAGCCUCCCACCGCCACCCUCCGCACCCGCACCCGCGCUCACGUGAAUGGCGGGGUCCUCCCUGGAGCUCAGCACUCACGGCCCCACGGCACAACUCAGGACAAUAUAGACUUAGAGCGGUGUGAUCUCCAGGGAGGGCCACGCUCAACCUCAGGGUCUGUGUGGGACGCUUUGAACACUUCCCCAAAUAUCCCUGGCCUCUGCCUCACCCAGCGUCAUAGAAAGCGGUGGUCAGGGUGUCCUGAUCACCAACCUCCCUCCGCCCGGCCCCCAGGCACUCAACUUUUGAAGCUGAGCAGAGGGCCGUCACUUAAUUGUCCCAGACAUGAAAUAACCAGGAGCUAUGUCUGUUCUCGGCCUUUGAACAGGCAGGGCCAAGGCUAUGACUCAGUCUGCUGGGGAAUCCAGAGGCCAGGACCAGAGCCGGGCAUGGUGGUACACGCCUGUAAUCCCAGCACUCAGGAGGCUGAGGCAGGAGGAUUGUUGCGAGUUUG